UUGUCAGCAGCCGCGGUAAUACGAAGGGGGCUAGCGUUGUUCGGAAUUACUGGGCGUAAAGCGCACGCAGGCGGUUCGAUUAGUCAGAAGUGAAAGCCCCGGGCUCAACCUGGGAACUGCUUUUGAUACUGUCGAGCUUGAAUCACGGAGAGGGUAGUGGAAUUCCGAGUGUAGAGGUGAAAUUCGUAGAUAUUCGGAAGAACACCAGUGGCGAAGGCGACUACCUGGCCGUCGAUUGACGCUCAUGUGCGAAAGCGUGGGGAGCAAACAGGAUUAGAUACCCCAGUAGUCC
rnacentral:rRNA from 1 species